rnacentral:rRNA from 1 species
GAUGAACGCUAGCGACAGGCCUGACACAUGCAAGUCGAGGGGCAGCAUGGGAUAGCAAUAUCCCGAUGGCGACCGGCGCACGGGUGAGUAACGCGUAUGCAACCUGCCCGCAACAGGGGGAUAACCCGGAGAAAUCCGGACUAAUACCCCGUAAUACAGGGAAUCCGCAUGGAUUUCUUCGUUAAAGGACAACCGGUUGCGGAUGGGCAUGCGUUCCAUUAGGCAGUUGGUGAGGUAACGGCUCACCAAACCUACGAUGGAUAGGGGAACUGAGAGGUUGGUCCCCCACACUGGUACUGAGACACGGACCAGACUCCUACGGGAGGCAGCAGUGAGGAAUAUUGGUCAAUGGGCGUAAGCCUGAACCAGCCAAGUCGCGUGCAGGAGGACGGCGCUAUGCGUUGUAAACUGCUUUUACAGAGGAAUAAAGGUGUGGACGUGUCCAUAUUUGUAUGUACUUUGUGAAUAAGGAUCGGCUAACUCCGUGCCAGCAGCCGCGGUAAUACGGAGGAUUCGAGCGUUAUCCGGAUUUAUUGGGUUUAAAGGGUGCGUAGGUGGGAAAUUAAGUCAGUGGUGAAAGUUUGUCGCUCAACGAUAAAAUUGCCAUUGAAACUGGUUUUCUUGAGUAUGCUUGAAGUAGGCGGAAUGCGAGGUGUAGCGGUGAAAUGCAUAGAUAUCUCGCAGAACCCCGAUUGCGAAGGCAGCUUACUAAAUCAUGACUGACACUGAAGCACGAAAGCGUGGGUAUCAAACAGGAUUAGAUACCCUGGUAGUCCACGCAGUAAACGAUGAUUACCAGUUGUUUGCGAUACACAGUAAGCGACAAAGCGAAAGCGUUAAGUAAUCCACCUGGGGAGUACGCCGGCAACGGUGAAACUCAAAGGAAUUGACGGGGGCCCGCACAAGCGGAGGAACAUGUGGUUUAAUUCGAUGAUACGCGAGGAACCUUACCCGGGAUUGAACGCAAUGGGACGAUGGGUGAAAGCUCAUUUCCAGCAAUGGCCAAUUGCGAGGUGCUGCAUGGUUGUCGUCAGCUCGUGCCGUGAGGUGUCGGCUUAAGUGCCAUAACGAGCGCAACCCUUAUGAUUAGUUACCAGCAUGUAGUGGUGGGGACUCUAGUCAGACUGCCGGCGUAAGCUGUGAGGAGGGUGGGGAUGACGUCAAAUCAGCACGGCCCUUACAUCCGGGGCGACACACGUGUUACAAUGGCGAGGACAGUGAGCUGCUACCACGUGAGUGGAUGCGAAUCUCCAAACCUCGUCUCAGUUCGGAUCGGAGUCUGCAACUCGACUCCGUGAAGCCGGAUUCGCUAGUAAUCGCGCAUCAGCCAUGGCGCGGUGAAUACGUUCCCGGGCCUUGUACACACCGCCCGUCAAGCCAUGGGAGCCGGGGGUACCUGAAGUAUGUAACCGCAAGGAGCGUCCUAGGGUAAAACUGGUGACUGGGGCU